AAGCCCAGUCUCAGUUUGUGGUUUGGAUUCGAACCAGGCACAACGCGUCUCACUCAAUACUACGACUGCUUAAAUUACUUCAUAAUUAUCGUUAUCGUCUCAAGUCUUUAAAAACUUUGGAAACUUUGGCCAAGCAAUUUUCUCCUUUGUCUAAUUAAUCGUUGAUAAUAUUUCGGGAAAUAAAUUCACCAAAUUUCUUCUGACUUCAAUACUUUACUGGAAAUUGGACCUUUUCACCCUGGAUGAAAAUAGAGAUGAAUAAGAACGGCGAGGGGAAAGGUGGUCGAUCGAGUAGCACCUCAUCUAAUAAUAAAAUCAGGAUUGCAGUUUUUGGACAACACGACGUCGGAAAAUCAGAAGGAAAAUUGUAUGCAUCAUUAUUUUCGCAUAUAUCAAAAUUAAUCAAGUAUACAUAAAUUAUAAUUACAAAAAAAACUAGUAUGUGGCAAAAUUUUCGUCAAUGCGAACCUUUGACGACGUUGUUUACAAUUAUAUUUAAUUAAAAUUAAUUGUAAUUAAAUUUAGAUUGAUAAAUGUAAUUGUUCGAUUUGACUUUAAUUUAA